GACGAACGCUGGCGGCGUGCUUAACACAUGCAAGUCGAACGGAAAGGCCCCCACCUUGGUGGGGGUGCUCGAGUGGCGAACGGGUGAGUAACACGUGGGUGAUCUGCCCUGUACUUCGGGAUAAGCUUGGGAAACUGGGUCUAAUACCGGAUAGGACCAUGGUUUAGUGUCUCAUGGUGGAAAAAUUAUUGUUUUGGUGCAGGAUGAGCUCGCGGCCUAUCAGCUUGUUGGUGGGGUAAUGGCCUACCAAGGCGUCGACGGGUAGCCGGCCUGAGAGGGUGGACGGCCACAUUGGGACUGAGAUACGGCCCAGACUCGUACGGGAGGCAGCGGUGGGGAAUAUUGCACAAUGGGCGCAAGCCUGAUGCAGCGACGCCGCGUGAGGGAUGACGGCCUUCGGGUUGUAAACUCCUUUCGUUAGGGACGAAGCCACACCUUUUUUGGGUGUGGUGACGGUACCUUUGUUAAGAAGCACCGGCUAACUACGUG
rnacentral:rRNA from 1 species